GGGAAGGUCACCAGAUGUCAAGAUCAGUACGGUGACUUGUGCUUAGAUUGUCGAAGUAAAUGGCUCCCUAAAGAUAGACACUUAGCUGCAUCUAGGAGAGUCGAGCAUGAUAAAGAGUCAACUCUUGUGAAACAAGUGUGGAGAGUUCGUAGGACUAAUUCUUUAGAUAAUCCCAAGUCUUGUAGGACUAGUUCUAUUUAAUCUCUCUUCUUUUGAAACAAUUUUAAAUGUCUGUAAUUUGUAAUCCUCGUUUGAACUAAGUGACCGUGUUUUGUUUCUU